rfam:Cylindrobasidium torrendii FP15055 ss-10 unplaced genomic scaffold CYLTOscaffold_330, whole genome shotgun sequence.
GACUCAAUAGCUCAGUGGUAGAGCAUACGAUUGCAGAUCGUGUUGCCCCGUGUUCGAACCACGGUUGGGUCU